GAUGAACGCUGGCGGCGUGCCUAAUACAUGCAAGUCGAGCGAACGGACGAGAAGCUUGCUUCUCUGAUGUUAGCGGCGGACGGGUGAGUAACACGUGGAUAACCUACCUAUAAGACUGGGAUAACUUCGGGAAACCGGAGCUAAUACCGGAUAAUAUUUUGAACCGCAUGGUUCAAAAGUGAAAGACGGUCUUGCUGUCACUUAUAGAUGGAUCCGCGCUGCAUUAGCUAGUUGGUAAGGUAACGGCUUACCAAGGCAACGAUGCAUAGCCGACCUGAGAGGGUGAUCGGCCACACUAGAACUGAGACACGGUCCAGACUCCUACGGGAGGCAGCAGUAGGGGAUCUUCCGCAAUGGGCGAAAGCCUGACGGAGCAACGCCGCGUGAGUGAUGAAGGUCUUCGGAUCGUAAAACUCUGUUAUUAGGGAAGAACAUAUGUGUAAGUAACUGUGCACAUCUUGACGGUACCUAAUCAGAAAGCCACGGCUAACUACGUG
rnacentral:rRNA from 1 species